AUUGAACGCUGGCGGCAGGCCUAACACAUGCAAGUCGAACGAGUGGCGGACGGGUGAGUAAUGUCUGGGAAACUGCCUGAUGGAGGGGGAUAACUACUGGAAACGGUAGCUAAUACCGCAUACUAUCGGAUCUUCCUAGAUUGGAUUAGCUAGUCGGUGGGGUAAAGGCUCACCUAGGCGACGAUCCCUAGCUGGUCUGAGAGGAUGACCAGCCACACUGGAACUGAGACACGGUCCAGACUCCGACGGGAGGCAGCAGUGGGGAAUAGUGCACAAUGGGCGAAAGCCUGAUGCAGCCAUGCCGCGUGUAUGAAGAAGGCCUUCGGGUUGUAAAGUACUUUCAGCAGGGAGGCGUUACCCGCAGAAGAAGCACCGGCUAACUCCGUGCCAGCAGCCGCGGUAAUUC
rnacentral:rRNA from 1 species